CCUACGGGUGGCAGCAGUAGGGAAUAUUGCUCAAUGGGGGAAACCCUGAAGCAGCAACGCCGCGUGGAGGAUGAAGGUUUUCGGAUUGUAAACUCCUUUUGUUAGAGAAGAUAAUGACGGUAUCUAACGAAUAAGCACCGGCUAACUCCGUGCCAGCAGCCGCGGUAAUACGGAGGGUGCCAGCGUUACUCGGAAUCACUGGGCGUAAAGAGCGCGUAGGCGGGAUAGCAAGUCAGAUGUGAAAUCCUAUGGCUUAACCAUAGAACUGCAUUUGAAACUGUUAUUCUAGAGUAUGGGAGAGGUAGGUGGAAUGCGUGGUGUAGGGGUAAAAUGCGUAGAGAUUGAGAGGAAGACUCAUUGCGAAGGCGACCUGCUAGAACAUAACUGACGCUGAUGCGCGAAAGCGUGGGGAGCGAACAGGAUUAGAUACCCUUGUAGUC
rnacentral:rRNA from 1 species